rnacentral:misc_RNA from 1 species
GAUGAAGAACGUAGCGAAAUGCGAUAAGUAAUGUGAAUUGCAGAAUCCCGUGAACCAUCGAGUCUUUGAACGCAAGUUGCGCCCGAAGCCAUUAGGCCGAGGGCACGCCUGCCUGGGCGUCACACGUCGUUGCCCCCCCAUCUACUCCUUCGGGAUUGCGGGGGGCGGAUGAUGGCCUCCCGUGCGCCUCGUCGCGCGGUUGGCAUAAAUGCCAAGUCCUCGGCGACGCACGCCACGACAAUCGGUGGUUGCGAAACCUCGGUUGCCCGUCGUGUGCGGUCGUCGCGCAUCGAGGGCUCGAAAAAAUUGCCGGGCUCCGGCUCGGCUUUCAACGCGACCCCAGGUCAGGCGGGGUUACCCGCUGAAUUUAAGCAUAUCAAUAAGCGGAGGA